ACCCUCUCAGUUGUGCUUCAGACAAUACUGCGCUUUGCUGCUGCGCCCUUCUCCAAUCAGGAAUAUUUCACGGAUUUUUUAAAAAAAAAUUAUUUUUUUUUUACAUUUUUUCUGGAUAAGAGGAGGGUGCGAGAAUAACGUGAUCAUAAAUGCUACUUGAGCGCUCUAUCAGUGGGACUUGAGAGCUCGCUGGUGUGUUUGGUAAUUUUCCCUUCUCUCCUGAUGGGUGACAGCCGCUGUUUUGAUUUCUUCACAGUUUGUCGAUGUGCAGCACCCUGCACGUCCUCCUGCUCGCCCGAAUUCGCGCUGCUGGAAGAACAAAUGCUUAUGGGGCAACUUGUGCCGUCUGUGGAAAGUUGUUCCGGGGUGUCUUCACCUUACAGGUGCAACUCUAAAGCUGCUGUUUUUCUUUCACUAUAUUCUGCUUUCUCGGGGGAGUGCUUGCACAGACCGACUUAAUGCUUUCCCUGAACUCUUUCAAACGUUUUUUUUUUCUCCUACAGUCUAAAUGUGCAUUCAUUCAGUCAUCAGUAGUGAACUAAAUGCUCCAGGCUUCAUCAGCUGGCCGUUGACAAUGAGGCACAAAUGGUUCUGCAAUAGUCUUCAUCUCCCACUGGCCGAAUUCAUGGGAAGAAUGGAAUUGUAAUGGAAUCAGAGUGAUCCAAAUCACCUGCUGAUCACACCGCCCCUCCAAAUGAAGGUGGAGGAGGGGUUUUGUUUUCAUAUGUGCCUUCUCUUUAUCAGCAUCCCAUACAAAGGCUAAGCACAGACCUGAUCAUGUGCUUAAAAGAAAAUGUAUGGUAAAGGAAUGGCUGUCUUUGUUUUAGCCAUGCCACGGGCUGGAUAGUUGUCCAGGGUCUACUCCGCCUCUCGCCCAAUGCCAGCUGGGAUAGGCUCCAGCCAACCACCACUCUCCACAGGACACAAGCGGGUAGAGCUUGGAUGGAUGGAGAAAUGAUUGUGCAUGACUAUCACAUAGCUUGGAGCUCAAUUCAUUUGCAUAUUUGGGUUAUUUGCAUAUUCAUAAAGGAUGACAUUCAAUUGGCCUUGACUGAAUGCGUUCCAUCUGAGCAGAUGCUGCAUGAAGAGGCUUUUUGUUUAUUUAUUUCCAGGAAGUUUCAAUCUGAAGUGUUUCUAAGCCAGCCUUUCCAAAACAAUGCUACAGAACCACACAGAGCAGCAGCGUUGUGAAAAUCUGAAAGAACUUGUUUGUAUCUCCAACAUCCUAUCCCACACAGCGUUUACAACAUUGUUAAUCUGUUGCCAAACUUAUAAAGGAGCUUGGAGUCCUAUUGGUUUCUGUGGCCUGCGACUGGAAGCUUUCUAAUUCCAGUCUUCCCCAGGCAGCCAGUGGAACAUCAGGGGUGACCUCGAGUCAGCCCACUUUCCACGGCCAUAAUGAAGACUUGGGUGUUUAGGGAGCUUUUGGCUCAGUACGCCAAGAGGUGGAAGAAAUUCAUGCAAAGCCUUAUUGAACAAUGAAAACACAAUAAGUAUCUCUCCACUGACUCACGAGGAGGCCAAUUGCCAAGCUCCAGGAAUGCAGCCAUUACUCUCCUCUGCAAGGACAUUUCCAGAGUCCAGCUGGUAUGCUGUGUGGUUGCAUUGUUGUCACUGCAACAAGAAGAAAAGAUUACAUUUAAGAUUACAUUCAUGAGGAAAUGUGAGUCCAGAAAUUGUGGCCCAAGUAAGCAGUCAGAUCAAGAGUGAAAGGUUGUGCUGCACUGUGUGAUAACAAUGACAAUGUGAUAUCUUGACAUUCAUUACAAAAAAUUAAUAUAUGUGUGUGUAUACAUAUACAUACGAGAAGCUUUUGAAUUUUCUUGAAUUUUUCUUGAAUUUUCUUUUUGAAUGUCUUGGAUUUGCAUUCAGCAAGUGUAGUAGUUGCACAUGCAGCACAGCAGUUUAUCAUCUGCUAGAAUCUCCAAAACAUUUGUGAUAUUUUUUUCAUCUAAUAGCAGUUGCGGAAUCUGUCAUAUUAUUCAGUCAACUCGAGUCUGUUUGAGCACAUGGAAUUUGAAUUAUUCAUGACCCCGCAUAAAGAAUAGCCCUAUUAUCACCUGCUCCUGUUUGUGUGUGUGUUUGUGUGACUGAAAUCUACACUAACACUUGUGUGUGUGCGCGUGUGCCGAACAGUAUAUCUCUGAUAUUACGGCUGCAUUUCAUUUCAUGUCCGUUGCAAAAUGCAGUGUGAUAAACAUUAGCCUUUUGAUCAUGUGAUAACAUCAGUUUAUUGAUGUGAAUCAACCUUUAUGAUUAGAAUGUGAGUGGAUACAAAUAUAUAUAUAAAUUGAAUUACUGACAGAAAAAUGUUUGGUUCCAGUUUUCUGUGUACCUACCAAUUCAUACAGUAUAGUGCAGUGCAUAAACAUAUGCAGGCAUAUAGGGUGAAUUCUCUAGACACCAGUGAAAUGUAUUCAGACUUUCAGCUCAACUCAAUCACGACGAGGUAGUCCAUAUGUUACUUCUGUCUGCACAGUGAUAAUGGGCUCCUCCCUGUAGGAAUCUCAGCUGGAUGACUUAUUGGUAAACCCCAAAUGAGCAUAUCUGAGAGAAGUUUUUCUUGAAGUGCUCAGUUCUUUUGUGCGUCCUCCUGUGCUGUUGUGGAAGAAGCUAUUACACCAUUUGUCAUUACAGAAGUUGUGCAUUUCUGUCAGAUUCUGGAGUAUUUUCUUUUGUUUUAUUUCCACUGCUGUUUUCUGCACUGCUACAUUUUCUUCCACAAAUUGCCAUGCAGAAGUGCUACAGCUAAUCUUCUCCGUUACACACAGCUAGUUAGGUUUAAUGAUUGCUGUUACCAAAGAUGUCACUCUGUUUUUGUUUUGUUUGGGGGGUUUUUGCCACUAAAGCAGCAUGGAUAUGAGAGCGGUAGGAGGAUAACCACUUGAACACAGGCUGAAAUAUCUUAACUUUUGAAAUGUGCUGACAUUACUUGUCCUCCAGAGAGUGAUUUUGGCUUUCCAGUUCCUCUGACCUUUAGGACGUCUAGCGAAUUUUUAAUUGCUUAAGUGAGUUUUUAUCUAGAAUUAUACACAGGUCACUUACAAAGUGAAAACUUGAAACCUACUGAAUAGACUGGCAUCUAAAUUUACCCAGGCAUAAAAGCUCCCCAAGCAAUGAAUGUUGUUGAUCUUGUGACUUUUCCCUCUAAUGCCACUGGGAGGUUAACAUCUGUGGUUUUGAGUCAUAUGGCUCAACAACUACUGGAUGAAAUUUUGCACACAUGCUCAGAAUGUCCACAAGGAGAACUGCUGGUGGUUUUGUGCUUCUCUCAAAUAUUUAUUCUCAGCCAAAGUGUUGAAAAAGACAAGAAAAUUUGGUGCAUUAUUGUGUCAAAAUGCUGCCUUGCUAGUGCUUUGUUUUCGUCUUUUAUGAAAUACCUGCUAAGCGAAUGACAUUUCCAUUCAACACUGCUGUUCUUUGUAGAGUCUCAGUGAGCAGACUGCAUUCAUGUUGACUCUUAAUCUUGUUGAAUUUUUCUUGUGAACCUUUGAAAAAGCUUUCUUUUUCUUGCAACUUCAACUCACAAACAGUCCGGUCACAAAGACACGGCCAUGCCAAUGACUCUACACAUACCAUAAGGUUGUGAAUGUCCACAAACAUUUCAAGUGUGACCACCUGACGCAUUCAUAAACUGCUGUAUUUGCAUUACAGAUUCAUGCUAGUUUUAAGGGUUUUGGUUGUUUGGGUUUUUUUGCUUUUUUAUGCGUCAUGUCUACUGGAUGUCACUAUCAGUGUAUACAGGCUUGUGUCUUAUGGUUCAGUGCAAUCAUUACCCUAAUGAUGUACAACUCUAUUAACAAAUUAAAGUGUGAGUGCAUCCCUUCAA